AUUGAACGCUGGCGGCAGGCCUAACACAUGCAAGUCGAACGGUAACAGAAAGCAGCUUGCUGCUUUGCUGACGAGUGGCGGACGGGUGAGUAAUGUCUGGGAAACUGCCUGAUGGAGGGGGAUAACUACUGGAAACGGUAUCUAAUACCGCAUAACGUCGCAAGACCAAAGAGGGGGACCUUCGGGCCUCUUGCCAUCGGAUGUGCCCAGAUGGGAUUAGCUUGUUGGUGGGGUAACGGCUCACCAAGGCGACGAUCCCUAGCUGGUCUGAGAGGAUGACCAGCCACACUGGAACUGAGACACGGUCCAGACUCCUACGGGAGGCAGCAGUGGGGAAUAUUGCACAAUGGGCGCAAGCCUGAUGCAGCCAUGCCGCGUGUAUGAAGAAGGCCUUCGGGUUGUAAAGUACUUUCAGCGGGGAGGAAGGGAGUAAAGUUAAUACCUUUGCUCAUUGACGUUACCCGCAGAAGAAGCACCGGCUAACUCCGUG
rnacentral:rRNA from 1 species